AGAAACUAACAAGGAUUCCCCUAGUAACUGCGAGUGAAGCGGGAAAAGCUCAAAUUUAAAAUCUGGCGGUCUCCGGCCGUCCGAGUUGUAAUCUAGAGAAGUGUUAUCCGCGCUGGACCGUGUACAAGUCUCCUGGAAUGGAGCGUCAUAGAGGGUGAGAAUCCCGUCUUUGACACGGACUGCCAGGGCUUUGUGAUGCGCUCUCAAAGAGUCGAGUUGUUUGGGAAUGCAGCUCAAAAUGGGUGGUAAAUUCCAUCUAAAGCUAAAUAUUGGCGAGAGACCGAUAGCGAACAAGUACCGUGAGGGAAAGAUGAAAAGAACUUUGGAAAGAGAGUUAAACAGUACGUGAAAUUGCUGAAAGGGAAACGCUUGAAGUCAGUCGCGUUGGCCGGGGAUCAACCUUGCUUUUGCUGGGCGUACUUUCCGGUUGACGGGUCAGCAUCAAUUUUGACCGUUGGAUAAAGUCCAGGGGAAUGUGGCAUCUUCGGAUGUGUUAUAGCCCUUGGUCGCAUACAACGGUUGGGAUUGAGGAACUCAGCACGCCGCAAGGCCGGGUACUUGUACCACGUUCGUGCUUAGGAUGCUGGCAUAAUGGCUUUAAUCGACCCGUCUUGAAACACGGACCAAGGAGUCUAACAUGCCUGCGAGUGUUUGGGUGGAAAACUCGGACGCGUAAUGAAAGUGAAAGUUGAGAUCCCUGUCGCGGGGAGCAUCGACGCCCGGACCAGACCUUUUGUGACGGAUCCGCGGUAGAGCAUGUAUGUUGGGACCCGAAAGAUGGUGAACUAUGCCUGAAUAGGGUGAAGCCAGAGGAAACUCUGGUGGAGGCUCGUAGCGAUUCUGACGUGCAAAUCGAUCGUCAAAUUUGGGUAUAGGGGCGAAAGACUAAUCGAACCAUCUAGUAGCUGGUUCCUGCCGAAGUUUCCCUCAGGAUAGCAGAAACUCAUUUCAGAUUUAUGUGGUAAAGCGAAUGAUUAGAGGCCUUGGGGUUGAAACAACCUUAACCUAUUCUCAAACUUUAAAUAUGUAAGAACGAGCCGUCUCUUGAUUGGACCGCUCGGCGAUUGAGAGUUUCUAGUGGGCCAUUUUUGGUAAGCAGAACUGGCGAUGCGGGAUGAACCGAACGCGAAGUUAA
rnacentral:rRNA from 1 species